rfam:Phialocephala scopiformis strain CBS 120377 unplaced genomic scaffold LY89scaffold_22, whole genome shotgun sequence.
GGGGACGUAGCUUAGUGGUAAAGCUCGCAAGAAACAUUGGAAAGUGGGAUGAUUAACUUGCUUACCAAACUAAGUCAAUUAGUUCUGGUGAGCAAGGGGUGAAAACAACGGCUUAACGUCCCUCUUCUUCUGCGGACCAUUCAGAUUGUGGAUUGCUGGUUCGAAUCUAGCCGUCUCCA